CCUACGGGUGGCAGCAGUGAGGAAUAUUGGUCAAUGGACGAGAGUCUGAACCAGCCAAGUAGCGUGAAGGAUGACUGCCCUAUGGGUUGUAAACUUCUUUUAUAUGGGAAUAAAACGUUCCACGUGUGGGAUUUUGUAUGUACCAUAUGAAUAAGGAUCGGCUAACUCCGUGCCAGCAGCCGCGGUAAUACGGAGGAUCCGAGCGUUAUCCGGAUUUAUUGGGUUUUAAGGGAGCGUAGGUGGAUUGUUAAGUCAGUUGUGAAAGUUUGCGGCUCAACCGUAAAAUUGCAGUUGAAACUGGCAGUCUUGAGUAGAGUAGAGGUGGGCGGAAUGCGUGGUGUAGCGGUGAAAUGCUUAGAUAUCACGAAGAACUCCGAUUGCGAAGGCAGUUCACUGGACUGCAACUGACACUGAGGCUCGAAAGUGUGGGUAUCAAACAGGAUUAGAUACCCCAGUAGUC
rnacentral:rRNA from 1 species